AUUUUUUUUCUUCAUAGGAUUUUGGGAAGACUGAGACAAUCGUUGCUGAAGUCAAUGUUGUAAUGGUGAAUCGGGAUUUUUAAUGAAGUGGGUUUGAUUACUCUUGACUGUUUUGUGAAAUCGAGUUACGUCUGUGAUUGAAGAAUUAAAAGGGUGUCUAUAGGAUUGAGUAUGCGGAGUGAAUGAAAUUUAUUGGGUUAAUCUAACAAGACAGUCAGUGGAUACAAGAUCAUAAGUACAAAGCGGUAUCGGAGAUU
rnacentral:lncRNA from 1 species